rnacentral:lncRNA from 1 species
CUCUUGUCGUCCUCCUCUUCCUCCUCCUCUUCCUCCUUCCAGUAUUCCCAACUGUGUAUCUGUCUGUAUCUGUUUUCAUUUUCCCAUGGAAAUGCUUUGGAACUCUGUCUAUUUCUUUGUAAUAGAUCUGGAAUGUGUUCUAAUUGGGAAUAUUUCUGUGUGAGUGUUCUGUUUGAGUGUUCUGUUCGAGUGUUCUGUUCGAGUGAUCUGUUCGAGUGUUCUGUUUGAGUGUUCUGUUCGAGUGAUCUGUUCGAGUGUUCUGUUCGAGUGUUCUGUUCGAGUGAUCUGUUCGAGUGUUCUGUUCGAGUGUUCUGUUCGAGUGUUCUGUGUGAGUGUUCUGUUUGAGUGUUCUGUUCGAGUGUUCUGUGUGAGUGUUCUGUUCGAGUGUUCUGUUCGAGUGUUCUGUUUGAGUGUUCUGUUUGAGUGUUCUGUUCGAGUGUUCUGUUCGAGUGUUCUGUUCGAGUGUUCUGUGUGAGUGUAUUCGGGUGUGCAGUAUUUUUUGGACUGAGUUGCUCUCUCUCUAUCUCACUCUCUCUCUCCCUCUCUCUCCCUCUCUCUCUCUCUCUCUCUCUCUCUCUCUUUCUCUGUCUUUUUGUCUCUCUCCGAUUUGUGUGACAGUUGAGUUAGUAGGCUGGAACUAAUUGAACUGAAAGUUUUGCAAAGUCAACAAAACUUCCCCACACCCACCCAGUCACCAUUCAACAACAGCAAUCCCCACCCUUUAACUCCAAAUCAAAUCAAAUUGUAGUUGCCACAUUUGUCACAGGUAUAGACUAACAGUGAAAUGCUUACUUACUUACGGGUCCUUUCCAACAAUGCAGAGUUAAAUUACUUAAAAAUGUUGUUUUUUUUUUAAAUAACUUAAAAAUGUUCAGUAGUGACACAAGGAAUAAAUAGUAAUAAAUACACAGUGAAUAACAAUAACGAGUAAAAAUAACAUGGUUAUAUACAGGAAGUACAAGUACCAGUUAAUAAAAUGGCUAUAAACAGGAAGUACCAGGUAAUAACAUGGUUAUAUACAGGACGUACCAGAUAAUAACAUGACUAUAUACAGGAAGUACCAGGUAAUAACAUGGUUAUAUACAGGGAGUACCAGGUAAUAACAUGGUUAUAUACAGGAAGUACCAGAUAAUAACAUGGUUAUAUACAGGGAGUACCAGGUAAUAACAUGGCUAUAUACAGGAAGUACCAGGAAAUAACAUGGCUAUAUACAGGGAGUAUAAGUAGGGAUUUGAGGUAGCUAUGUACAUACAGGUAGGGGUAAAGUGACUAGGCAUCAGGAUAGAUAAUAGACUGUAGGCAGUAUACUGUAGGUAGGGGUAAAGGAUAGAUAAUAGACAGUAACAGCAGUAUACUGUAGGUAGGGGUAAAGGAUAGAUAAUAGACAGUAACAGCAGUAUACUGUAGGUAGGGGUAAAGGAUAGAUAAUAGACAGUAACAGCAGUAUACUGUAGGUAGGGGUAAAGGAUAGAUAAUAGACAGCAACAGCAGUAUACUGCAGGUAGGGUAAAGGAUAGAUAAUAGACAGUAACAGCAGUAUACUGCAGAUAGGGUAAAGGAUAGAUAAUAGACAGUAACAGCAGUAUACUGUUGUUACUGUCUUUUAUCAGUAUUAUCAGCAGUAUACUGAGUCCAGUCAGUGUGUUGGUAGAGUCCAGUCAGUGUGUGGGUAGAGUCCAGUCAGUGUGGGGGUAGAGUCCAGUCAGUGCGGGUAGAGUCCAGUCAGUGCGGGUAGAGUCCAGUCCGUGUGUGGGUAGAGUCCAGUCAGUGUGGGUAGAGUCCAGUCAGUGUGGGUAGAGUCCAGUCAGUGUGUGGGUAGAGUCCAGUCAGUGUGGGUAGAGUCCAGUCAGUGUGUGGGUAGAGUCCAGUCAGUGUGGGUAGAGUCCAGUCAGUGUGGGUAGAGUCCAGUCAGUGUGGGUAGAGUCCAGUGAGUGUGGGGGUAGAGUCCAGUCAGUGUGUGGGUAGAGUCCAGUCAGUGUGGGUAGAGUCCAGUCAGUGUGGGUAGAGUCCAGUCAGUGUGGGGGUAGAGUCCAGUCAGUGUGGGGGUAGAGUCCAGUCAGUGUGGGUAGAGUCCAGUCAGUGUGAGGGUAGAGUCCUGUCAGUGUGGGGGUAGAGUCCAGUCAGUGUGGGGGUAGAGUCCAGUCAGUGUGGGGGUAGAGUCCAGUCAGUGUGGGUAGAGUCCAGUCAGUGUGGGUAGAGUCCAGUCAGUGUGGGUAGAGUCCAGUCAGUGUGGGUACUACACAACACAACACACACUAAACAACACACAAUAUACACUACACAAUACACAACACACAACACACAACACACACUAUAGAAUAUACAACACACACUAUAGAAUAUACAACACACAAUACACACAUUGGUGGAGGUUUUCUGCCUGUAUUAGACUGUCUUCUAGGGCAGUCUGCGGUAGAGGGCUGUCUUCUAGGGCAGUCUGCGGUAGAGAGCUGUCUUCUAGGGCAGUCUGUGGUAGAGAGUUGUCUUCUAGGACAGUCUGUGGUAGAGAGUUGUCUUCUAGGGCAGUCUGCGAUAGAGAGCUGUCUUCUAGGGCAGUCUGCGGUAGAGAGUUGUCUUCUAGGGCAGUCUGCGAUAGAGAGCUGUCUUCUAGGGCAGUCUGUGAUAGAGAGCUGUCUUCUAG